AAUAAAACGUACUUGCGCAGUGGGGGCGUAUAGUUUUAGAAUUGUCGUUAAACCACUACUAUCAUACGUGACUGCUGGAAUUAUUACAAAUAACGCUAAAAUUGACAGUAAAAAGGAAAGAUCUAGAUCUAUCAGCAUUUCAAUAAAUCUGGACUUAUAAACUGAGGGAAUAUCGUCCAGCGGCUGACUUCUACCUUCUUGAAAUUAAGACAGAAUGAUAUCGUAUCCAGUGUCAACAGUUUUCCUACUAUUUGGAUUUAUUGGAAACAUACGGACAGACGAUCAAUUUUUGUGCUGUAUGAAAGGAAUAAAGGCGAUCCGAAACAUUGCAGUUUGUCCAGCACCCUGUUGCUAUGGAUACGAAGAGAGGACAUUUUACGCGUCCAUAAUGUCAAGAAUUACGUUUUGCGAAAGGAAAAAGAAAGAUGUAAACCUUGACGAAACCACCGAAGACCUUGAAAAGUUAUACACAGCGGAUACAACCGACAAAUAUGACAUUUGAACAGUAACUUACGUUACUACAAACUGACUUCAAGAACAUAUUCUCUAACGAUGUUAGAUGAGAACGCCAUUUUAAAAUGCACUAUGAUUUGUAUUUAACAAAAAAUCAAGGACUAUAAAAUUUCUUCAUGAAUUUAAGGAUAUUUCAAAUAAAAAGCAGGAACAGUAUUUUUAUCGGAAGGCGAAUUAAAGUUAAAAGUGGGUGGGCUUUAUGGCUGUUCUAUUCAAAUGUUGAAAAUAUCACUUUACUCACAUUUAUGGAAAGCAAACUUAUUUUUGUACCAAACUAUUGAAAAAUGUCAAUGUUAGGCCUAAAUACUAUUUGUUUUGUGAAUUAAGAUCAGUACAUACCACAGUUGAAUUUGUUGCGAAUCAUCUAAUGGAUUUGCAACUACAAGUUCUAAUUUGUUAAACCAGUCUUAACGCUCAGAAUAGCAGCAAUUAAUUCUUUGAUAUCACUAGUGCGUUUGAAUGACUGUGUAGACCAUGUUUAUUAAACUCCUUAAUUGUUUAAUGGCAUGCUUUUCACGGCAUGUUUUUUCUCAAGUAUUUACGUUAGGUUAAUUUGAGACCUGUCAUAUAGCACAAACUAUAUGGAUCAACAGGACCGAUUUAUACAAGGAGUUUAGCAAUAUAUUUUCUUAGAAAUACACAUAUUGUCAUGUAAUAUUUACUCACACUACACUAACUGAAUACAUUUAAUCAGAUGGCAUCUGUAAAUGGCAAGAGAUAUAUCAUUAAUAACUGCCAAUAAAUAUCAAUAACAAUUGAGCUUAUCACA